rnacentral:rRNA from 1 species
AUUGAACGCUGGCGGCAUGCCUUACACAUGCAAGUCGAACGGCAGCACGGGGGCAACCCUGGUGGCGAGUGGCGAACGGGUGAGUAAUACAUCGGAACGUAUCCAGUCGUGGGGGAUAACCAGUCGAAAGAUUGGCUAAUACCGCAUGAGAUCGAAAGAUGAAAGCGGGGGGACCCGCAAGGGGCCUCGCGCGAUCGGAGCGGCCGAUGUCGGAUUAGCUAGUUGGCGGGGAANAGCCCACCAAGGCGACGAUCCGUAGCUGGUUUGAGAGAACGACCAGCCACACUGGGACUGAGACACGGCCCAGACUCCUACGGGAGGCAGCAGUGGGGAAUUUUGGACAAUGGGGGCAACCCUGA